UUAACUCCGCAUAAAAAGGAUCAGUGUAGUGACGUGAAACUGAAAAUUAUUCCUUCCUCUGGGUUGGGCUGAGCUGAGCUAUCACAGGAGCUGCCCUUCGCAAGCGCAAAGCCACUGACCGCCCGAGCACCUACUUGCCUGCGCGUCCCUUCGUCUCCUAACUUCCCAUUGAGAAGCACAGGCUGCUCCCUGGAAACCGGUUAUGAUCUCAAAUUGGUGAUCACUGAGGACUAUGAAGUUCCAAGACAAGAAGCUUUGCAAUAACAAAUGAAGCUUUAGGCUCCAUCUGGCCAGACCCUUCUUUCUGACACAUUUUGCUCCUCUUCUCAAUGAUAAGCAGCAAGGUGAUCAAAGCAAGUUUAAAAGCUUAAAUGCCUCAGAAGUAUACUGUCUUCUUGGAUUUCACAAGUCAAAUUCAGUUCAAAUUGUAUUAAGAUCAAUGUUCAAUUAACUUAAUAAAUAUUUUUCUUUUGUAAUUGAAGAAGUAUAAGUCAAACACUAAUUAAUAUGUUUAAAAUAUUUUUUCUAUUGUGACAUUAUCCAACAUAAUAUUAAAUUCAGUUAAAAAAAAACCUUACCAAAUGUAUGAACUAAUUUAAACAUUAAAAAUAUAAUAGUUCUUGAUAAGAAAGUUACUUUCUUUAAUUAUGAGGGGUGUGAGUGAGUAUAAUGGGUAGUAAAUGGAAAGUUUUAGUUUAUUUAUCGGAUCGAUUAUCUACGUGAUAUUUUCCCUCAAAAUGGAAUAUGCUGUGAAUGAAUUGCUGUCUAAUAUUUAUGCUAUA